rnacentral:rRNA from 1 species
AAUUUUUGACAAUGGGGUAAACCCUGUUCCACCAACGCCCCGUGUAUGACGAAGGCCUUCUGGUGGUAAACUGCUUUUAUACGGAUCGAAAAGUCUGUGUCAAUUAUCCUGGGAUCAUAACCGUACCGUAAUAAUAAGCGCCGGCUACCUACGCACCAGCAGCCGCGGUAAUACGUAGGGUGCAAGCGUUAAUCGGAAUUACUGGGCGUAAAGCGUGCGCAGGCGGGUUUGUAAGACAGUGGUGAAAUCCCCGGGCUCAACCUGGGAACUGCCAUUGUGACUGCAAGGCUGGAGUGCGGCAGAGGGGGAUGGAAUUCCGCGUGUAGCAGUGAAAUGCGUAGAUAUGCGGAGGAACACCGAUGGCGAAGGCAAUCCCCUGGGCCUGCACUGAAGCUCAUGCACGAAAGCGUGGGGAGCAAACAGG